AAUCAACGCUGGCGGCGUGCCUCAGACAUGCAAGUCGAACGAUUAAAGCUCUCUUCGGAGAGUGCAUAGAGUGGCGCACGGGUGAGUAACACGUAAGUAAUCUACCUUCGAGUGGGGAAUAACGUCCGGAAACGGACGCUAAUACCGCAUAAUGCAGCGGCAUCGUAAGAUGACAGUUGUUAAAGAUUUAUCGCUUGAAGAGGAGCUUGCGGCAGAUUAGCUAGUUGGUAAGGUAAUGGCUUACCAAGGCUACGAUCUGUAACCGGUCUUAGAGGACGGUCGGUCACACUGACACUGAAUAACGGGUCAGACUCCUACGGGAGGCAGCAGUCGGGAAUUUUGGGCAAUGGGCGAAAGCCUGACCCAGCAACGCCGCGUGAAGGAUGGAAGUAUUUCGGUAUGUAAACUUCGAAAGAAUGGGAAGAAUAAAUGACGGUACCAUUUAUAAGCUCCGGCUAACUACGUGCCAGCAGCCGCGGUAAU
rnacentral:rRNA from 1 species